UUUGUUAUGAAAUGUGAUGAUGCAUGGCAUGAAAAUUAUUCUGUGGUUUAUUUUUGCUACUCUCGGCAGCUUUAGAUCCGGAACUUAGCUGCAACUACCUUAGUCAGUGCUGAGCAUUGACGUACGUGGAUGGACAGAAUAGUACUUCUAGAAGAAAUAUUAACAGAAGGGUAUAUUUGGCCGUCAACGCGUACCACCCUAUUUGAGGACCUUCGUCCCAUAACAUCUCACACACAGAUUUGCAUGCUGUUUUUCAUCACAAUACUUUUGGCUAAAUCAACGAAACGGUACCAAAAUCCGCUCGGACUGCCAUCAAUCAAAUAAUUGCUGCUGCAUUCACUCAUCAACCAACUGCUUCAUCAUAGAAACUGCGUUGGGAUGGCCAACGUGAAGAAUUUUGAUAAAAUUUGAA